AGCGACGCCGCGUGAGGGAUGACGGCCUUCGGGUUGUAAACCUCUUUCAGCAGGGAAGAAGCCACAAGUGACGGUACCUGCAGAAGAAGCGCCGGCUAACUACGUGCCAGCAGCCGCGGUAAUACGUAGGGCGCAAGCGUUGUCCGGAAUUAUUGGGCGUAAAGAGCUCGUAGGCGGUUUGUCGCGUCUGCUGUGAAAGCCCGGGGCUUAACCCCGGGUGUGCAGUGGGUACGGGCAGACUAGAGUGCAGUAGGGGAGACUGGAAUUCCUGGUGUAGCGGUGGAAUGCGCAGAUAUCAGGAGGAACACCGAUGGCGAAGGCAGGUCUCUGGGCUGUUACUGACGCUGAGGAGCGAAAGCAUGGGGAGCGAACAGGAUUAGAUACCCUGGUAGUCCAUGCCGUAAACGUUGGGCACUAGGUGUGGGGGACAUUCCACGUUUUCCGCGCCGUAGCUAACGCAUUAAGUGCCCCGCCUGGGGAGUACGGCCGCAAGGCUAAAACUCAAAGGAAUUGACGGGGGCCCGCACAAGCGGCGGAGCAUGCGGAUUAAUUCGAUGCAACGCGAAGAACCUUACCAAGGCUUGACAUAUACCGGAUCGUUCCAGAGAUGGUUCUUCCCCUUUGGGGUCGGUAUACAGGUGGUGCAUGGUUGUCGUCAGCUCGUGUCGUGAGAUGUUGGGUUAAGUCCCGCAACGAGCGCAACCCUCGUUCCAUGUUGCCAGCACGUGAUGGUGGGGACUCAUGGGAGACUGCCGGGGUCAACUCGGAGGAAGGUGGGGAUGACGUCAAAUCAU
rnacentral:rRNA from 1 species